rnacentral:rRNA from 1 species
CUAUGCGCCUUGCCAGCCCGCUCAGGUGUGCCAGCAGCCGCGGUAAUACGUAGGUGGCAAGCGUUAUCCGGAAUUAUUGGGCGUAAAGAGCGCGCAGGUGGUUAAUUAAGUCUGAUGUGAAAGCCCACGGCUUAACCGUGGAGGGUCAUUGGAAACUGGUUGACUUGAGUGCAGAAGAGGGAAGUGGAAUUCCAUGUGUAGCGGUGAAAUGCGUAGAGAUAUGGAGGAACACCAGUGGCGAAGGCGGCUUCCUGGACGAUGACUGACGCUGAGGCUCGAAAGCGUGGGGAGCAAACAGG